rnacentral:misc_RNA from 1 species
UUUCCGUAGGUGAACCUGCGGAAGGAUCAUUCAUAAUAAGUGUUUUAUGGCACUUUUUUAAAUCCAUAUCCACUUUGUGUGCAAUUUCAGGGUUGAUUUUUCUCUCGAGAGGCUCAGCCCCAAACAUUAACUAUAACUCAAUCCUUUGUCUGAAAAAUAUUAUGAAUAAAACAAUUCAACAUACAACUUUCAACAACCUAUCUGUUGGCUCUCCCAUCAAUGAAGAACCAAGCAGAAAGGAAACACAUCCGUACUCACGCCAUACAAUUCCAUCGAUCU